CCAGGCCUCCUUGGAGAAGGCUGACUCCAGGCUUGGAACAGAAACCCAACAAGAUGACCCUGGGACAUUUUGUCAUACCAGAAAAUGACAACCGAGGCACAGAUUCAAAAUCUGAGCUCUGAUUUCAGAUUCUGUGCUGUUCGUCACGGGGCUUGGGCCACCCCUUUGAUGUGGAUUUUCUGAAGAUCACAGGAUGGUCGAGCUGGGAAGGACCUCCAGAGGAACACCUGCCAGGGAGAGCCUACCAGCAGCAUCCACGGAUCCACAUGGCUCCUUUAAAAGACAUAUGUUGAGUGCCCCUCUGGGUCAGAUGCCACAUUACAGCCAGAGCCACAUGGACCAAUAAGACCAGACAGCCCCUUCCAUCAGAGACCACAGACAGACUGCCGACUGACCCUGGAACCUCAGGACCAAGCAUCUGAAGUAGAGCAGAGAACCUGCCCAGGAGACCAGCUUGGGAGGCUGGUUAACAUUUAUUGGGAACUCACUGUGUACACAGUGACUUACCAAGCUCCUCAUUACCAGGGUCAAUUUCUGUCCUCAGAGACCUGCUUCCUGAGGAGAUGGACUUCCAGAUCAUCUCAGGAUGGAGCCAGUUGGGACGGGACCGCCCUGGGGGGCCGUUCCCUAGCACAGUUCGCAGGAAUGAGGUCCGUAGGGCCAGUGUUGUCCACACCCUGCUCCCAGAGACCUCAUUUGCUUGGUUUAACACCUGGCUCAGAGCCAUCUGGAAAUACCAGUUUUACCACACUAAUUAAUUAAUAAUCCAGGGCUGUGACCUCCCUGCUCAGCGGGACCACGAUGGAGAAGAAGAAUACGGGUGCUUUCAGGAGAGACACCUGCUCUGGGGAGCCCCCGCAGCCUUUCCCACCCCCCGCCCAGGAAUGUGUCCACAAGUCCUCAGCUCCUGGGGCGGGGGGCGUGUCAGCUGUCCCUGCCGCCCUCUCAGGUGUCACCUGCUUCACAAUCCUCUCCUGAUGAGGCGCUCCAGGACACGAAGGGGACACUGCAUGCAGCCAGCAGAGUCACAUCCGUGGAAAGCAGACGUGAGAACCAGGACAAGGUUUGGCAGCUGCUUUGGUCUCAAAGAUCAGGAAGGAAGUCGGGCAAACAUCUAGUCUCAGGACCCUGACCUAAUGGCUGGACAGUGUCCGCUGAGGAUGGACACGUGUCUCAGAACAUGCUAUGUUUCAUGACCUUCACUGGGCCAGGGGGGCCAGAUGCUCCUGUCCGAUGCCCAGGGGUGCCCUGCUCAGGUGCAGCUGCAGUCCUGUCUGGGCGAGGGUGAUGGUAUCCAUCAGGGGCCGGGGAGAGGCCCUCUCCUGCCCAGGGAACCUCUGUGCUCUCUGCCGCCGUCAUUCCUUUCCACCUUCCUCCCUCUCAUGGCUAUCAUCCCGUCCCCCCACCCCUUGUCAUUCCUUAGCCUACAGCGGUGUUGGAACCUCCCUUCGGUGGCACUCAGAACUGGCCACGUGCUACUUCCCAGUUCACACAGCCAGUGACACCAGCAACAACUUUCCAGAGUUCAAAGAAGGUCUCAGCUUCACCACGUCCUCUGCGCCUCACGAUAGCCACGUGAAAAUGGGUAGACUCCGGAUUAUCUUUCUAAAGAGGCAUCUAUUAGGUUUUAUAAUAAACAGUUUGCUGUUUUCAGACAUCACAUAUUUGAAAAAAGGUUUUUUGGUCAUUGAUCAGUGCCUAAUAAAGCUUUUCAGGGCGCUAUACAAUCUACAGCACAUCAUCACCAUCACAAAACCUAGGAGUAGAAAGUGAAUAUCAUGACGCCAAGUAUGCUAAUGUUCUCUUUAUUUCAGGGGAAGAAUAAGUACCUUGCAUUUUUACAGUGAUCUACGUUUAAAAAAAUCCUCAUUCAAUUGGAUUGUCUCAGCAAUCUUUCCGGGGGCAAGAAUGAUUAUUCCUGGUUUACAUUUUGAAGAAACCGAGGCUUAUAUACUUGAUGAAUUGUUUGGAGUCACCAAUAACUAGUAGAUUUUGAUUUGAUUUUAGAUUUUCUGACUUUUUUCUACUGUAGACCUCAAAUUCCUUCCUAGAAUUACGGCUUCUGGGUAUAGACACCAAAAACAAGUGUGGGUGCACGUGUGCAUAUUCUCCCAACACCAAAUGCAGCCAUUCAGAGCUGCUCCUUCUCUGCCUGUUUUUCCGAUGACCUACAGAACACAGGCCCGUCGCCGACCCUCCACACACACCUUUCAGUCGUUUUUCAUGCUUUUUUUUCUCCAGUUUCUCCAUGGAAGCUGAUACAUCAACACACACAGUCUUGGAUGGUCCCACUAUCCCUGGCAUCUUGCUGGGGACACAGCUGCUGCUGCCCAAAGUUUGCAGAAUGUGGCCUGGCUAGACUCGCCUCAUGACCUGGAGAAGGAGGGUUUCUGGACAAUUUUCCUGAUGAAUAAGAGUGAGCAGCCACGUAAUUCUGCAGCUGAAGCAAAUCCUCACCGCAGCUUUUCCUACCUGAAGACUGGUGGUGGAUUGUCUCAACAAUACAGCCCUUUUACUGAACAGUGGUCACCGAUCGUGUCUU